rnacentral:rRNA from 1 species
GACGAACGCUGGCGGCGUGCUUAACACAUGCAAGUCGAACGGGCCCGCCCCUGUUUUUGGGGGUGGGUUGAGUGGCGAACGGGUGAGUAUCACGUGAGUAACCUGCCCCCUGCUCCUGGAUAACUGCUUGAAAGGGCGGCUAAUACGGGGUGUGCCGGCUGGUCCGCAUGGGCCUGGUCGGGAUAGUUUCAUCUUCGGGUGUUUCGGUGGGGGAUGGGCUCGCGGCCUAUCAGCUUGUUGGUGGGGUGAUGGCCCACCAAGGCGGUGACGGGUAGCCGGCCUGAGAGGGUGGGCGGCCACACUGGGACUGAGACACGGCCCAGACUCCUGCGGGAGGCAGCAGUGGGGGGUAUUGCACAAUGGGCGGAAGCCUGAUGCAGCGACGUCGCGUGAGGGAUGGAGGCCUUCGGGUUGUGAACCUCUUUCUCCGGUGGUGAAGGCCCUGUCCGUUGCGGCGG